rnacentral:rRNA from 1 species
GAAUUUUAUAUAAUUUUAUUUGAUUAGAUUAUAUUUAGAUAAAUACAAUAAAAUUAUAUUUUAUUGGGAGGAUAGUUAAAUAUUUUUAACUUUAAUUAAAAGUUAGAAGAUAAAUUAAUAAAUUAUUAGGAAUGGUUUAUAAAUUAAAUAAGAAUUAAUUACCUUAGGGAUAACAGCGUAAUAUUUUUGGUGAGUUCAUAUCAAUAAAAAUGUUUGC